AGCCUCGUGGUGAAGAGCACAUUGGAUUGCAAAUCCGAAGACGCAGACUAAAUAUCUGCCGGGGCUU
rnacentral:tRNA from 1 species